GCUUAUUAACAUUCCAGAUUGAAUAUUCCCGAUCUCGUCUGAUCUCGGAAGUCAAGCAAUCUCGGGCUUGGUUAGUACUUGGAUGGGUGACCGCUUGGGAAUACCAAGUGUGAUAAGCU
rfam:Ciona savignyi cont_37548, whole genome shotgun sequence.